CUCCUGGUCCCCUUGGUCUCCAUCCUAUCCUACCCACGGUGGCGCCGCCGCCUCCAUCCACCACCCCGGCGACCUCCCCACUGGAGAUCCCCUACAUCCGUCGCCCCCACCUUCUCUCCCAGUCCCAGAUCGACCCGACCCGCAGGUGAGCCGGCGGCCUUCCCUCCUUCCUCUCUCGGGGCGCUCUUCCUCUCUCUCGCUGCGCCUCCUCUGCUUCGACCUUCUCCAGGUGCCCAAGCCAUGGAACUCAAUCGUCAUGCUGUUGGUUGGUGAUGCCAAGGUCCUUCCUUUCAUUUCCUUUGCUGCAGGAGAAGAAAACCCUAUAUGCUGUCUCAAGCUCCAUCCUUCUCCACAAUCCUGCCGCGCCCAACCUCCGCAACUCUUCUUCCGCAAGUCAAGUCCGCAGGAGGCCUCCAAAAGCGUCGGAUUCGGAUGUAGUUUGAUGAGACGAUCCCAUCUCCAUCUCAUCUUCUCGUGUCAAGGACGGUCGGGGGGCCUCAAGGGCUGCUCCGACCCUAUCGACGCCAUGGAAGAGGUUUCGCUUCUCUUCAUUCAUGAGCAGGAGCAGGAUCAGGAUCUUUCUUGAACAAACUUAAUUAUUGGCAUGCAGAUUCAUGAAUUAAUUUGUCCCAUUAUUGUAAUGCUAAUCAACUUUCACUGGAUGGUCAUGCGAAUGAAUGAAAUUACAUGUCCGCGAGUCUUUCUUCGGGUUAAAUUAAAUUAAAAUGGUCUUGCCAAGUUGUCGA